rnacentral:rRNA from 1 species
GACGAACGCUGGCGGCGUGCUUAACACAUGCAAGUCGAACGAAGUGGCGAACGGGUGAGUAACGCGUAAUCAACCUGCCCUUCAGAGGGGGACAACAGUUGGAAACGACUGCUAAUACCGCAUACUGAAGGAGGGGAUUGCGUCGGAUUAGCUAGUUGGCGGGGUAACGGCCCACCAAGGCGAUGAGCAGUAGCCGGUCUGAGAGGAUGAACGGCCACAUUGGGACUUAGACACGGGCCAGACUCCUACGGGAGGCAGCAGUUGGGAAUCUUCCGCCAUGGACGAAAGUCUGACGGAGCAACGCCGCGUGGGUGAUGACGGCCUUCGGGUUGGAAAGCUCUGUUAAGCGGGACGCGGUACCGGAAUAGAAAGCCACGGCUAACUACGUGCCAGCAGCCGCGGUAAUUC